GCUGCGGCAACCUUAUCAGCCCACCCAGAUGGCAAUGCAAGCAGCCAAGAGGGGGAACAUUCGACUUCCACCUGAAGUAAACUGGGUUUUAUACAUAAGAAAUUCACCAUACAAAAUCACAGCUGAAGAAAUAUAUGACAUAUUUGGGAAAUAUGGUCCUAUUCAUCAAACCCAAGUGGGAAACACACCCAAAACUAGAGGAACAGUUUAUGUGGUCUAUGGAGGUAUGUUUGAUGCCAAGAAUGUAUGUGAUAACCUUUCAGGAUUCAAUGUUUAUAACAGAUACCUGGUGAUUUUGUACUAUAAUGCCAACAGGGCAUUUCAGAAGAUGGACACAAAAAGGAAGGAAGAGCAGCUGAAGAUUCUCAAGGAGAAAUAUGGCAUCAACACAGAUCAACCAAAAUAAACAUUUUCUGCAUUUUCAUUUUAGACUAAAUGACCAUCUUCACCCUUUUCCUAUUUUUAAUUAAAGCUGAAUGUUGUAAUUUCUUAUUUGAGAUUCAAAAGGACCUGCUUGAAACUUUGAUAUGUAUUAGAAUAUGUUAUGGGAAUAAACUUGUAACUUAUAAAAAAAAUU